GUUUAAUUGGCUGACUUUUAUCGCAGGCAUAUGCUAAACUGCGACAGGGACUAAAGAGGAAAAAGCGAGUGCCUAAUUGAUACCAAAACGUUUCUGCAAGAUAUCACCAUGCUGCUGAAGGUGAGAUACCAGAGGACCAAGAAGUACAUCCGAUUACAGCUAGGUUUCACCUAUUUUGAAUUCAUCACUGCAGUCAAAAACAAAUUUGGACUCCAUGAUGCAGCUGAACUUCACAUAUUUGAUGAAACUGACACUGCAGUGGAGGAAGACAUUCUUCUUGAACUGAUAGAGUCCAAUCCAGACCUUUGCCUGAUCGUGCGUGACAGCAUUUCAGAUGAAGAUCAUUCAACACCAUCUUCUCUCACGGAUACCAUGACGCUUUCUUCAAGUGACAAUGACCUCUCCGGUCAAAGACAAAGGGGGAUUUUGAGCUCUGAGG